rnacentral:tRNA from 1 species
UGAUUAGAGUAUAGUACAAAUAAAAUUUUGAUUUUUAUAAUAAAGGUUCAAUACCUUUCUAAUCAA